ACGGGUGAGUAACACGUGGGAAUAUGCCCUUUAGUACGGAAUAACCAAGGGAAACUUUGGCUAAUACCGUAUACGCCUUCGGGGGAAAGAUUUAUCGCUAAAGGAUUAGCCCGCGUCUGAUUAGGUAGUUGGUGAGGUAAUGGCUCACCAAGCCGACGAUCAGUAGCUGGUCUGAGAGGAUGAUCAGCCACACUGGGACUGAGACACGGUCCAGACUCCUACGGGAGGCAGCAGUGGGGAAUAUUGGACAAUGGGCGAAAGCCUGAUCCAGCCAUGCCGCGUGUGUGAAGAAGGCCUUCGGGUUGUAAAGCACUUUAAGCGGGGAGGAAGGGCUUACGGUUAAUACCUGUGAGCAUUGACGUUACCCGCAGAAUAAGCACCGGCUAACUCUGUG
rnacentral:rRNA from 1 species